rnacentral:rRNA from 1 species
GACAGAGGGUGCAAACGUUGCUCGGAAUCACUGGGCGUAAAGGGCGUGUAGGCGGGAAGGAAAGUCAGAUGUGAAAUCCCCUGGGCUCAACCCAGGAACUGCAUUUGAAACUCCCUUUCUUGAGUGUCGGAGAGGAAAGCGGAAUUCCUGGUGUAGAGGUGAAAUUCGUAGAUAUCAGGAGGAACACCGGUGGCGAAGGCGGCUAUCUGGACGGUUUCUGACGCUAAGACGCGAAAGCGUGGGGAGCAAACAGG